rnacentral:piRNA from 1 species
UCUAAUUACUAAUAAUUAGGUGAACACAAGC